AGUGAACGCUGGCGGUAGGCCUAACACAUGCAAGUCGAACGGCAGCACAGUAAGAGCUUGCUCUUACGGGUGGCGAGUGGCGGACGGGUGAGGAAUACAUCGGAAUCUACUUUUUCGUGGGGGAUAACGUAGGGAAACUUACGCUAAUACCGCAUACGACCUACGGGUGAAAGCAGGAGAUCUUCGGACCUUGCGCGAUUGAAUGAGCCGAUGUCGGAUUAGCUAGUUGGCGGGGUAAAGGCCCACCAAGGCGACGAUCCGUAGCUGGUCUGAGAGGAUGAUCAGCCACACCGGAACUGAGACACGGUCCAGACUCCUACGGGAGGCAGCAGUGGGGAAUAUUGGACAAUGGGCGCAAGCCUGAUCCAGCCAUACCGCGUGGGUGAAGAAGGCCUUCGGGUUGUAAAGCCCUUUUGUUGGGAAAGAAAAGCAGCAGGUUAAUACCCCGCUGUUCUGACGGUACCCAAAGAAUAAGCACCGGCUAACUUCGUG
rnacentral:rRNA from 1 species